CAGAGCCCGCCAGCUGCUAAGCCGGGGCCACACCUGGGGGUGACGUCAUGCCUCACCUCCAGUAGGCACCUUGGUCUCUUGCACUAACUCUUGCUCUUGCCCAGCUAAUCCCUGCCUGGCCCUGGCUGCCCAGGGGCUGACCACUAACAGCCAGCCCUGCCCAUCGGUUGGGGUGGGGCGGCUCCAGGCUCCGGGCCUGGCUUUGGCCGGCUCUCAGCUCACCUCUCCUUCUCCUUGACUAACUCCUGCCUCCCUGGUCUGUUCCUUUUAGCAGAAACUAAUGGCUUGCGGAUCCCUCUUGGACUAACAACGGGUCUAACCCUUCUCCUCACUGUGACCAUUAACAGCUUGGUGUCAGCAUGGCUGCC
ensembl:misc_RNA